AUUGAACGCUGGCGGAAUGCUUUACACAUGCAAGUCGAACGGCAGCACGGACUUCGGUCUGGUGGCGAGUGGCGAACGGGUGAGUAAUGUAUCGGAACGUGCCCAGUCGUGGGGGAUAACGUAGUGAAAAUUACGCUAAUACCGCAUACGAUCUAUGGAUGAAAGCGGGGGAUCGCAAGACCUCGCGCGAUUGGAGCGGCCGAUAUCAGAUUAGGUAGUUGGUGGGGUAAAGGCCCACCAAGCCAACGACCUGUAGCUGGUCUGGGAGGACGACCAGCCACACUGGAGCUGAGACACGGUCCAGACUCCUACGGGAGGCAGCAGUGGGGAAUUUUGGACAAUGGGCGAAAGCCUGAUCCAGCCAUUCCGCGUGCAGGAUGAAGGCCCUCGGGUUGUAAACUGCUUUUGUACAGAACGAAAAGGUUUCUACUAAUACUAGGAGCUCAUGACGGUACUGUAAGAAUAAGCACCGGCUAACUACGUGCCAGCCGCCGCAGUAC
rnacentral:rRNA from 1 species